ACCUGUUGCGGGUGGCAGCUGAGGGUGCCCGCAGCACACGACAGAAACACGUGCCCAUAGGAACAAAUGGGCACUUCAGGGCGUU
rfam:Streptomyces hygroscopicus subsp. jinggangensis 5008, complete genome.